GCCAGAGAUUGUUUCCAAGGCUUGAACCCGGGACGUACUGGUCACAUGGCAAUAACUUCACCAGUUACUUCAAGAUAUCUAGUGUAUGCUAAAAUGAACCAACAAGAUAAUUUACUACAUUCUUUAGCCUGUGAAACGUACAAGCAUUAAAGCAAUAAACUACAAUACCCUUAAUGCAUGUAAAUCUGAAAACCCGAAAAUACGCUGCCAGCACGCAUGUCAACCACGUGGCAGCAUCAGCUACUCUACUUACCAGCCGCUCUACUGUCACUCACUAUAUACUUGAAGUAAAAAAACCCUAACUUUUCUAUCAGCAGCAAAAUCGCCCUUUUGAUUGUCGGAACCCUACCGGAAUCUUUUGUAAUUCGUUGCUUUUUGCGUCGUCGGAAGUAGAAAUGGCCAGAAUUCGCGAUGAAGACGGUCUGUUUGAGCUGACAGAGGAGGAUUUGAAGAAAGUGGUAAAGGGAGAUGACAGCCCUUUUUAUCAGAUGCACGAUACGCUGCCGGACAAACCUCUGGGAUUCAAAUUUGAUGAAUGCCCCGAGGAGUGCAUGAGUAACGGCAUCUUGCCAAUUCUAGUGUCCAAAAAAUGUCCUGCCCUUUAUAGUAUGAUAGAGGGCAUGGCUGCCGUGGCAAUCCAAAAGUUCUUUGGCCCUGAUGGAGUGCACCGCCCUAUUAAGUCUAUUUUUAAGGUAAAUGCAGGUGGAGCUGAAAAGCUUACUUACUACAUUACAUUUUCAAUUGAGAACAACGAAGGUGAAGAGCUAUUUCAAGCUGAGGUCUAUAAAGCCUCCAAUGGGAAUUUUAUUGUUCCCCAUUGUAAGCACAAACUCUGAGCCGUUGCUGAAUGUACAAUUGCAUAUAAUUGCAUAAGCAACAAUACUCUCUUUAGUUACAAUUAGAGCCAGUAGUAAAUUAUCUAUAUUGGGUGAAAGAGCACUUGCAUUAGUUGCUCUUCUUACUUGUUCUGCGUAUUUAAGAUAUUUCAAUGCGUUUGUUCCUUGAAUCAGGUACUAUAUGUCUAGUCUGUUGUCCUGCAAUCUAUUUGCUUUACCUGCUUUAAGUUUUGCUUGCCGUCCUUUUGACAUCUUCACGAAUUUGCAUGUCUGGCUCCUCUAUUGUGUUACUUCAAAAAUGAGUUGAAUUGUUUGUUCAUAAAACCACUGUGAAGAUUGGGUCAGUCAAAUAUCAUAUUAAUGUAAAAGAACACAACUUUGCUGAUCACGUGUUUGUGUAGAAUUUGAUGACCUUAUCUGCAUGCUAUAACUUCUAAAUUGCUAAUAAGCUAAGCUACCAGCUGUUUUCGUUCAUAGUUCAGAUGCUUUGCCAUUUGCUAUAAUGCUUAAGCAAGCACCAAUUUUUAAUGAUAAAAACUAGCAGGAAAACAAAAAGAUUGACUAGGUCUAAGUUCUCGAUCUGCAUCUUCACUUUCAUUGCCUACUCUUGUUGGAACUACUGCACAUAUGUGGAAUGCAUUAGUCAGUCCAUUCAUGAAAUGUUAAGAAGAUUAUCAAUACAUAAUAUGAUUGCUUCCAGCGAUAUAUAUAAUUCAUAAGGACCUGUAGUUCAUAACGACCUUAUACGCCCAACUCGGAGUAGUUAAUAUUAUAUUAAUAUUGAAGAACAUGAGCUAUUGCUAAUUAAAAUUAGUUACCUUGUCCCAUUGAAAUAGUUACUGAGAUCUUCACAUAUACAAUAUGUUGCUGACAUUGACAGAUUGAUCUUUCGUUAUCAACUCUGCCAACUGUAAAUUUUGGACAGCAUUAAGUGAUAGGAAACAAUCAUUUGUAUGUCUGGUAUAAGCAAGAGGAGGUAUAAAUAGUAAGAGCUUUUAACCAUGAGUAUACAUCAUCAUGGUAUUUGAUUGUGGUCUUGGUGAAAAGAAGUACUACUUUUUGCGUGUUUUGGUGGUAUUUUAUUGUGGUCUUGGGCAAUUCUAUUCUAUGUCAAAAAGCGGCUUUAUUUUGAUUCUUGAAUCUUUGCAUGCAUUUCUAGACUGUGGAGAGUUGAAAAAUUGGUUAAUUUACUAAAAGUUAAAGCUUUUGUUUGUGGAACUGCUAAAGGCUUAAUCUUUUCAAGUAUACUGCAUAUCUUUUUCCUUCUUUUUGUUUGAGGCUCUCGGGACUUAAUGCUUUGGAAUGCAUGACUACAUUUUUCACCACCAUUUGCUAUAAUCCAGUAGGGGUGGAGGGUAGAUCUGCUGUAAAAGAUGGAUUACUGGAGGGUUCAAUAACAAACUAAAGCAGACAAGAGAUAAAGCCACUAAUGGAUUGAUCUUUCUGUUGUAGGGUAUUCAGUGAAGUCUGCAACACAACACUGAUAUAGUAUUUGAUGGCCAUGGGGUUACAGAUGCAGCAGUAUCUUUGAGGAACAAUAACAUCCUCAUAUUCAUGAUUGAUGAGGAGUCUUGUUUUCCCUGGUGCUUAGAGAAGUCAUCUAGGAUUGCUUUUUUUGAAAGCUGCCGAUGAUAGUUCUGUUGACUUGUCCUCUGGCACCACAGCACUAAGGUGUGGAAGGGGAUUGUCGUGCUGUGCUGGAGAAACGAGGUAGAGCCAUUGAGUUGUCUAAGGAGCACAAACCAAGCAGCAGCACAUCUGAAAGAUAUUGAAUAGAAAGACUUGGGGGAGUUAUAUUUGACGGAUACUUGAAAGACUUGAAUGGAGUUAUAACUAUCUAUGGCGUGUGACCUGAAAGGUUCUGCUUACCCCUUGAGUGCCGAGCCGGAGUUGCAGGAAACAUUGUUGACCGAGGAUAUGAGUUUCCUAAUCAUGGGAUGUGAUGGUCUUUGGGAUGUUAUGAGCAGCCAAUGUGCUGUUACAAUGGGCAGGAAAGAACUCAUGCUGCAUAAUGAUCCAGAAUGAUGUUUAAUAUAACUGCUAAGUGAAACCCUCAAGUGCAACAUGUGUGAUCUUCUAGGAAGUAUACUGGAAAGCAACUCAUCAUAAGAUUCUGGGAAAUGGAUGGCAUACCAGUACACAGCUUCACACACUCGGGGACACAUGGCUGUGGCUGUUUCCUCAUUGCAAUGUUUCACUCACUUAGCUGCUCUUAAUUUUUAAUAGCAUGUAUAUUGGAAUAUGUUGCUCCAGCUGCAUUUCUCGUGAUGUACAGAUUCAAGAACUAUUUUUAAAGCAACUUGUUUAUCGUCCUUCCACUGCUUGCUGGAUUAUUGCUUUGUCUCGCUUUCAUGUUUCAAGUUCGUUGGAUGUGGCCAUAAAAGAGCUAUCUAUUUGAGUUAUUGGAAUUCUUAUUACUAUGGGUGUAGCGUCUAUCUAAGAGUCGCAAGUCUCUAAAUUGGUAUUGCAAAAACUCAUUUUGUGUCGAGAUGAGAGUAGUAGGAGGUGGUGUGUGUAUAUAUUAUAUAUUAUUGUGACAAUCGGGCUCUUGUGAUUGUUGGUAUGAUAAUAUUGUUUAUGAUUGUGGUAAGGAGGAGAUAGGUUACAUACGAGUUAUUGGUGGAAUGCUAAUUAGCGUAGAUACAUGCUCGUGCUUUACAUUUUGUUAUAGACAAAACACACUCUUAUCUCUUCUUUCUGCUGUCAUUAGUCAAGAAGUUAAUAAAGGAGUAUAUUAACUUAUCUCUUCUUCUUGCAUCACAGUACUUCAAUUUAAAUUUGGAACAUUGACUUGCAAAUAGUUUAUUGGAUCCAGUCAACUUUCAUUGAUUUUACAGAGCUAAAGAAAAUUCAGAACAACUCAUAUCUUGUUAUCCAGAUAUAUAAAUCAGUCCGUUUUCGAGCUAGCGUCGCACUAGUAGAAAAGAUUAUUUUCAAUCAAAUCUGUGGUUGUUACAAUACAAUUUUCUUGCUUCUUAUCUUAUAAAAUACUAAUUCUUUUAAUUAAAUUUCUUGUCCAUUAAAAUAUAGAAUUAGUUCAAAGCAACUUGAAUAGUACUAUCAUUUAAACUAGUCUAAAAUUUGGUGGAAGACUUUUCCAACGAUGACUCGACUCAAUCCAACAAGCACAAAACUAUCAGCAACUAGUAUACAAAGGAUUAAUGCUAAUGGCUAUUAAAUGGGACCAUGAGUUCUUGAAUACAAAGGAUUGUGAUGGCCGCAAUAUUCUUCAUUUGGCUGUUGCUGAUAAGCAAACUGAGACUGUCAAGUACUUGCUAAAGACCAAUCAAAUUGGUGUGAAUGAAAUGGAUGCUUAUGGAAAUACAACAUUAGAUAUUUUAGCAGAGAGUUGUAGGGAUAUUAUGAUGGAUUUAUCCAUUGGAGAGUGUCUUAGAGAAGCUGGAGGCAUAAGGGCAAAGGAUAUUAUUCCCAAAGACUGGUGUGUAUCUUCAUCACCGGCAUAUUUAGGAGAAGAUCAGUCGAAAAAUCCACCAUCACAAGGUGACUGGCUAUCCAAGAAGCGCGAGACAAUAAUGGUGGUUGCCUCACUAACUGCAACCAUGGCAUUCCAAGCUGGAGUGAACCCUCCAGGAGGUGUUUGGCAAGAAAAUGGAACCUCACAUAAAGCAGGGGAAGCAGUAAUGGCUUAUAACCAUGCCAGAUCGUAUCGAUACUUUUUUUCGGGCCAACACCAUUGCCUUUGUAUCUUCUAUCAGCACAAUCUUGCUGCUGAUAAGUGGAUUGCCCUUCGGGCGUAGGCUUUUCAUGUGGGGUUUGAUGGUUAUCAUGUGGUUGACAGUUACCUCAGGAGCACUCACUUAUGGAAUAUCAAUUUACAUCCUCACGCCUAAGAAGGACAGUGAACAACUUGGUCACAUCAUUGAAAUUGGAAUUGUUGUAUGGUGUGGCUUAAUGUCACUGCUUCUACUCGGUAACACAAUACGCUUGUUGCGCAUAUGGCACAAAAAAAAAGCAUGAAAUAAGUUCAUCAGCAACACGAAAAUUUGUAAAUUCAGUUUGUGUCAAUGUUUGAUAUGUAAUAUUCAUUUUUGAAUACAUAAUAGUCUAUUGGGAUUAUAAAUCAAGUUAAGUUCUCUUAGGGGUCGUUUGGUAGAGUAUAUAAGAGCAAUGGGGUCGUUCGGUAGUGUGUAUAAGAACAAUGUGUAAUAUAGUGUAUUAGUAAUACUUGUUUUAAUUAUGUUUUUAUUAGUUAUGCAUGUAUUAUUUCUUAUACAUUGUUUGAUUUGAUUUGAUGUAUAAGAGUUUUUGUAAAAGGCAUAAUCCUAAUGAAAUAUGCAUAAUCCUAAUGAAAAAUAGCAUGUAUGUUUUUGAACUUUUUGACU